ACGUUGCACAAAGCGACACAACGCGCAAACGCGCCUCUUCGUCUUCCCGGCCGAAAUUCGGCCAAUCCGGCCACCAUUUGGGCCGGGUCUUGAGUCUAAACCCAUCUACACCUCGAGAGCUUUCCAUAGACACCAAGAACACCAAAAUCCAUCGAGCGGUUUGUCCAAUUUUUGUCCAAGAAGUUUUAGCCCAUUUUGACUUUUGGGCUAGAUUUCUCGCAAACCGUGAACCCCACGAGAAAACCGAGAGUACCAGAGCACUCCACUCGUCGAGAGCUUCGCGACAAUAUAAAUUUCAAAAUUUUUCAACACCGUUUUUCGGUGGGUCCCAUGAAACUUUGUAGUGUUUUUUCAAGCAUUAAAUGAGUUUAAAAAUUUUCAUAAAAUUUAUGUACUAACCCCCGUGUUGUGGGCUUCGUGUAGGUAUCUUCAAUUCGCGGAAAUUCGAUAGUUGUCCAGGUCUGUGAAUUUCCGGCCAGACAGACCGGCUACCGAAAAAGUCUCCAAAUUGGAUCGAGGUUUUGGCUACCCCACCAUUGUCAGAUGUCCCGAGCGCGUCCCCAAAGUCGGAAUCGGCAUAGGUGAGCCGGGACAGCCUUCUUCCUCCACCCAACCUCUUCAGUGACCGUUGUCAAGUCUGCCAUAGGAGGAUAUUUUUGAGGUUAACCUGCUUUUCUCUCUCACAGGUCGUUUAUUAAUGUUUGUAUAAUUCAGUUAACUUCUAGAAUUUUCGCAUGUGUUAGAAAUAUUUAUUUGAUUUGGGUCUGUAAUAUAAAUUGUUAUUUUGGACCUGUAAACUUAUUAUUUUAUGCAUGUUGAUGGACUGGAUGAGGGAGCUGAACUCCCAUUUAUUUUAUGUUGUUAUGAGUAUGUGGAGGGUGAGCUGAGCUCCCCAAUGAUUAUAUAUUGUGUUUACAGGUCGGGUGAGUCAAAAACUCCCUAUUGAAAGGUCCAUUAUGGCCGGACUCUAUCCGGUUGAAUUCUUGAAAUUGGGCCCAAUGGGCCUUAGAGUUGGGUUAAGGAAUAGUUAGGCUUACUACAGGCCUCGGGGGCUUUAGGCUGGCCCAGGUCCUAAUGCCGGUCCGGCCCAUAGGUUGGGUUGUGACAUAACCAAUCCAUGCCCAAGAAGAUAUCAUAAUCUCUUAAGGGCAUUUCAAUAAGAUCAGACAGAAAAGUAUGUCCUUGGAUCACCAAAGGACAAUCCCUAUACAUUCUAUUGACCCUGACCUCCUAUCCUAGUAGACUUGUUACUAGCACCUCAAAGUCCAUUUUUGUACAUGAAACAGCAAUGCAAUCAAUGAUGCUAGCACUCACAUAAGAAUGGGUAGAACCCGGAUCAAAUAACACAAACACAUCUUGAUUAAAAGUUAAGAAGGUAUCAGCCACAAUAUCAGAUGUCUCGGCCUCUUCUCUCUGUCUCAUUGCGUAGACUCUGACCGGAGCACUGCCUUGCUCUGAUUGAUUCACUGUGCCUUGGCUGCCUGCUGGACUACCUUUACCCCUACCUCUACCUCUGCUAGGUGGUUGUGAACCUCUGGUGACAGGAUUCUGGACUGACCCUUCAGCAGUAGUAGGAGGUGGUCCAACUCUGCGAGUACUGGUGUAGUCUUUGGCAAAGUGCCCUGUGCCUCCACAGUUAUAACAGGCUCCUAUGGCCUUGUAGCAUACCCCACCAUGAGUUCUUUCACAAGUUUCACAUUGGCGGGGAGGGUAGGAACUUCUGGUACUCUGCUGACCAGAUAGAGGAUUUCUGUCCCAAAUAUCUUCCCCUACCGGACUUCUUACCACCUCUGUAAUGUCCCCCAAAGUUUUUCCUCUUUCCAGUAGGACCACUGGAACUCUGUUCUACUGACUUUCCCUCUUUUUCUGUCUUCUCUGAUUUCUUUCUCUUAGGGGCCACUUUAAAUUCAAUUCUUUCUAAUUCUAGUGCUUAAGAAAUAAGCUCGGAGAAGUUGUUAUGUUUGAAUCCGACCACUUGUAAUCUGAUACUGGGCUUCAAGCCGGUUUCAAACCUCUUACAUCUCUCCCUGCUGGUAGCAAGUAGACUUACUGCAUAAUGGCUCAAGCGGGAAAAUUUUCUUUCAUAUUCAGGCACUGAUCUACUCCCCUGUUUCAGACUUAGGAACUCUUGCAGCUUCUGGUCCACAUAAGCAUCAGGGACAUAUUUUUGUCUGAACUCCCGUAGAAAAUCAUUCCAUGUUAGUACUGAAGGUUCUACCAGACUAUGGGGAAUGGUUUUCCACUAGUCAUAUGUAUCCCCCUGUAGUAGAGACACUGAAUAUUCAAAUCUGAGCUUCUCUGUACAAUGUAGCUUCUUGAAUACCCUAUCCAUUCUCUCUAACCACUGUUCUGCCU